rnacentral:rRNA from 1 species
AAUAGAUACCCAGGUAGUCCACGCCCUAAACGAUGUCAACUGGUUGUUGGGGGAGUGAAAUCCCUUAGUAACGAAGCUAACGCGUGAAGUUGACCGCCUGGGGAGUACGGUCGCAAGAUUAAAACUCAAAGGAAUUGACGGGGACCCGCACAAGCGGUGGAUGAUGUGGAUUAAUUCGAUGCAACGCGAAAAACCUUACCUACCCUUGACAUGUCCAGAAUCCUGCAGAGAUGCGGGAGUGCCCGAAAGGGAAUUGGAACACAGGUGCUGCAUGGCUGUCGUCAGCUCGUGUCGUGAGAUGUUGGGUUAAGUCCCGCAACGAGCGCAACCCUUAUCAUUAGUUGCUACGCAAGGGCACUCUAAUGAGACUGCCGGUGACAAACCGGAGGAAGGUGGGGAUGACGUCAAGUCCUCAUGGCCCUUAUGGGUAGGGCUUCACACGUCAUACCAAUGGUCGGUACAGAGGGUUGCCAAGCCGCGAGGUGGAGCCAAUCCCAGAAAGCCGAUCGUAGUCCGGAUUGUUCUCUGCAA